CCCACCUCGAGGUCGCUCCAUCCAGUUGCCCAUGACCGUGUAAAUCCACCACACCUCGCACGCGCAGAAGGGUGGCUGCAACCUCUCCUCUGAUUUGGACUCCCGUAUCCCCGUUCUACUCCUCUCGUCGUUGAUCUCUCAUACCCUGUCCUUGCCUAUAGGCUGAUCUCCACGCAAUGAUCUAGAUUGAAUCAGGUAACGAGGAAUUUGGCGAUUAGAUCUGCAGGAACUUCCAGCCAUCACGGACUCCUCAAGUCCUAUGGCGCCGCGUCAACUCAGGAGCCGAUCUGUAAAGGUCACAGUGGUCUCCUGAGAACUCCAAUGGACAGUGCCAUCCUGGAGGUUGGACAAAAAGCUUUAAGCAAGCAGUACUAAAUUCCUAGCAAGUUUUUUCCUAAUUCACCAAGGUAGCGCAGCAAGAUUUAAUAAAGCAGAACUAAAUUCCCUGCAAGGUGUAAAAGAUCAGUUGAAUAUGUUUGGACAUCACUGGAAGCAAGAAGAUUGAGAAUCAUGUCCCACCUGUGUGGGAUUUUUUUUAUUGCAUCUACUACUAACUGUUUAUUAUCUCACAUUUAUUAAUUUUCUAUAUGCUAAAUAUUGGUCUAGAUAAAAUUUCUGGAUGAUUUCUUUCUUGAUAAGGUUGCAUUGUAUCAGUUACCUUGCGUCUGGACAAACAGUAUUGCUGUAGAUUGUAUAGUGACAUCGACUAAUUCUACAGUGUAUUCUUGAUUUUUCUUUGUGCUGUUGCAGUCACCAGAUUUCAGCUCCUAUCUAAAAUUUUCAUUCCUCUUGGAGGGAUAAUCUUCAGAGUUAAGUGGUACUAGCAUCGGUGGAAUGAUAGCCUAAACUGAAGGAAGGAGAAGGAGGGCUGCUAGCAUUCUAAGAGGGAUGCCUUUAUGUUUAUAUUUUACUACCAUAGAACUUGUACUGUGGGAAAAUUUGUGUCAUGUAUAAUAUGGAUGGUAGUCAUUGUAAUGCAACAAAUUAUUUAUAUUAUACAUAUGACUGACUAUGCUUAUUUCUUCCUA